rnacentral:lncRNA from 1 species
GCUAACAUUAUGUAAGGACAUGACAUUGCCUUCUUCACAAGGAAGAGGAAAAGCAAUUUUCCUUGUUUGGCUUAGGUUGAUCAUAUGAGAAGAGCACAGAAAAAAUCAACUAUUAAAUAGUGGGAAACUACAUCCAUCACCACUGAGGGAGAUGGUGUUUUGAAUAUAAUGAAAAUAUAACUAAUCAGUGAAGAAGCUCUCAGGUUCUGUCUAGGUUUUGUUUUAGCAGGCCUUACCCCUGAAAACCAUUUUAUCUUUAACCUUCAUCACACAAAUACCCUUUCCCUUGAGUGAGUAGCAUCGUCAACCACUUGGGCAUUUCCCCGAUGUAGUCAGGCUUAGCUGGUUGGGCAUAAACACUGUAGACAUGACUAAGCUUAAUUCCAUUACAUGAAUUGCUUGCAAAAAAUAGAAGUAUCCCCUUAGGACCUGAAUAAGGAGUUUCCCAAAGUUGUGAGGCCUUGAGUGGACCUCUCCCUGCUAUGUUUUCCUCAGAGUGCUGAUCUGGGACCCAAGAAACAGGGUGCACCUGUUGAUGUGGUUUCUCCUCCCUGCCCGCUAAGUCACAGACCCUGACAUGCUGUUGCUCUGGUGGCUACUCUACCACUCUCAGCCAUCACACAUCUGACAUGUCACUUGUCACUGGUGCUGAUGAGUGCUUCGGAUUCAGUAGCAAGCAUGGCAGGGCCAGUGGCAGGAAGAUGGAAGCUGUGGACCAUCAUGUGUGUGGACCAUGGUAUGAUCUGUCUUCACCACUAAACUGGAAAAUGAAGAUGAUGAUGAUGAAAUUUUCCUGUGGAUAUGAGAUGGGUGGGGACACAGAUGGAGCCCUUUUGGACCAAGGACAUGGAAGCAAGAAUGAAGGCCUGUCCUUCCACAGGCAUUCUUGCCAUGACUCCAUGGAUUCAUCUCUCCCUAGGAAUGCUGUCAUUAUUCCCAAGAUCCUUCUCAUCCUAGGAGUGAUAGCAAAACUCCUCAGACCUGUCUGCCCUGAAGAGGGUCCACUAUGAACCUCCAGACCUAUCAAUCUAGGAGGGCUAUUGACUCCUUAGAAGCAGUGCAAAGUAGGAAAGCACAUCGAUACUCUCCAGGUACAUCUCUUGCUGGAGAAAGAAUCAUGACUUCCCAGAUCCAUUGCCCCCUCCGUCCCUCAGGAAGACCUAUCUUAACUCUACAGUGGAGACAUCUCCAUCCAGCAAGACCUUCCAUGAUUUUCCAGGUUGGCUUCCAAUAUCUAUCACUUUCUGCCCAGAACCAAAAUGAGCGAGAUAUGAAAAAGAGCCUCCAGUAAGUCUUUUCCUCAUUGGAAGAGCCCAGGAACCUUUCAUUUAUUCCAAAAAGCAGCAAAUACUAAUAUAAUUCAGACCUCUCUCCACCAUGAAAAGAAAAAAAAAAAA